rnacentral:rRNA from 1 species
CCUACGGGUGGCAGCAGUGAGGAAUAUUGGUCAAUGGGCGAGAGCCUGAACCAGCCAAGUCGCGUGAAGGAUGACGGCCCUAUGGGUUGUAAACUUCUUUUAUAUGGGAAUAAAGUGUUCCACGUGUGGGAUUUUGUAUGUACCAUAUGAAUAAGGAUCGGCUAACUCCGUGCCAGCAGCCUCGGUAAUACGGAGGAUCCGAGCGUUAUCCGGAUUUAUUGGGUUUAAAGGGAGCGUAGGGGGCUUUUUAAGUCAGUUGUGAAAGUUUGGGGCUCAACCGUAGAAUUGCCGUUGAAACUGGUGGUCUUGAGUAUGUUAGAGGCAGGCGGAAUGCGUGGUGUAGCGGUGAAAUGCUUAGAGAUCACGAAGAACCCCGAUUGCGAAGGCAGCCUACCGAGC